rnacentral:lncRNA from 1 species
CUCUAGUAUACUAUCGGUAGCACAGAUGCCUCUGAGCUACCAAGUUGUUUUCAAUUAUGCGGCUUCCAAAUCGACGAUCGGCUCCGUUAGAUUUAAUCUACACUGUUAAAAGUAUUUAGAAAUUAAAUUUCAUAAUUUUUCGACACUAUUUGGCCAGUGAUCAAAUGGUCUCAAAAUUGACAAUUUUAAUGGUAAAUGUGAUGCGUUUAUGAAUUUAACGGUAUAAAACAAUCCAAAUCUGAUUAAAUUUUUAUUGAAAUUUUUUUUCUCUAUUUAGAGUAAGAUCAGUACCUCUGAUCUUAAAUUCAAAUUUUUUAUCAUCAUUUUUUAUGAGAUUUUUAUUUUCAGCCGUUUAUUUUUAGACUACUCGUUUGAUAGGUAAAUGAUGUCAAAAAAUUAUGAAAUUUAGUUUCCAAAUACUUUUAAUAGUGUAGAUCAAAUCUAACAGAGCCGAUCGUCGAUUUGGAAGCCGCAUCAUUGAGAAUAAUUUGGUAGCACGGAAGCCUUCGUACUACCGAUAAUGUAUCAGCCUAGCUAUAUAUAU